ensembl:snoRNA
AUGCACCUAAAACAUCUGGAACAGGUACUGUCUGCUGCUAAGGUUUUUACUAUGAAUGCGAGAAAACCACAUCCAUUUACCUUCUGUCAGUCCAACUGUGGCAGCCAGGAAGGAAUGGGGCAAACAGAA